rnacentral:rRNA from 1 species
UCGGCAAUGGGCGAAAGCCUGACCGAGCGACGCCGCGUGCGGGAUGAAGGCCUUCGGGUUGUAAACCGCUGUCGUUGGGGAGGAAGUGCAGGGGGGUUCUCCCCUCUGUUUGACCUAUCCAAGGAGGAAGUACGGGCUAAGUUCGUGCCAGCAGCCGCGGUAAGACGAACCGUACGAACGUUAUUCGGAAUUACUGGGCUUAAAGGGUGCGUAGGCUGCGCGGUAAGUUGGGUGUGAAAGCCCUCAGCUUAACUGGGGAAGUGCCCUCGAUACUGCUGUUCUCGAGAGAGGUAGGGGCGUGUGGAACUUCCGGUGGAGCGGUGAAAUGCGUAGAUAUCGGAAGGAACGCCGGUGGCGAAAGCGAUGCGCUGGACCUUUUCUGACGCUGAGGCACGAAAGCUAGGGGAGCGAACGGGAUUAGAUACCCCGGUAGUCCUAGCCCUAAACGAUGGGUACUGGGUUGCGGGUCAGACAUGGACUCGCAGCCGAAGCAAAAGUGGUAAGUACCCCGCCUGGGGAGUAUGGUCGCAAGGCUGAAACUCAAAGG